UUUGAUGUUGAUCAAGCACGUUUAAUUUUUAGUAUUUUUUGAAAGAUUAAUUUUAAGAGUCAUUUUAUCUUUAUGGAUUAACAAUUAUGCAUCAACUAAAAAUACAAUAAAAUAAACUAAAAAAUAAUGAAAAUAAUAAAAAGAAAAAGAAAAAGAUAAAAGAAAUAAUAAAAGGGAGGGGACACACUAUUAAUACAACAAGUAAAAGAAUUAAAACAAUAAUAAAAGAAAAAAAUAAAAUAAAUGAAUAAAGCAAUAAUAAGAAAAUAAUAAAUAAAUAAUAACAAAAGACAAAAAUAGACUGAAAAAUAGAGGUGUAGCUAGGAAAAUGCUCUAGACACAAAGGAGGGAGUCUCGUAUGGAUGCACUGGGCAAUUAGGGGGUGCGAGAGAUACUUCAUCUUUCUCAACCUCACAUUUGGUUACUAUUCACGUAGCAAUAAAAAUGGAAGAAAAAUGAUUUCAACAAAAACGUAAAAACACCACAGUUUUUUCAUUUUUUUAACAGAAUUAAGCAAAUAAAUAAUGAAAAUUUAUCUACUCGAUCUCAAGAACAUAAUGGUAUAUCUAGAAUCAGCAAAUAAACAACAACAACAAAACAAAAAUCAACAAAAAUGCAUCAACAUAUAUUUGC
rnacentral:lncRNA from 1 species